AAUAUUUCAUCGGACGGUUGAGCAAACACUGCACUGGUGGGCCAUGUAGAUAUUUUCCAGAUAUUUCUGCCUAAUCCUUUUAUACAAGGCUAAUCUUGUCAAUUAACAUUCUAUUUAACGCCGUUAAGUUCGUUUGGAAAGCCAAGUGAAGAAUCCCUGACGUCCGAAAACGGCGUCCCCUGCACCUUAAAAGUCGAGAUAUUUUUUCCCCUAAACUGCCACGUGUCUGUCUACUCAAGGCUCUCAAAUCGAUUGCGCUCUCGCAUUUAGAUUUUGUCCACGUCAUCUUCAUAAACCAUCCGAACGUCCCACGUAAAAUAUUUGAUCUUACGUUUCGCCUUCGGGACCUGUAAUUUGUCCACGUAAUCAUCCACGUCAGCAAUAAAUUAUACGGCCCAGUAAUCUUAUCUUUAUGUUAAUCUUAAUCUAAAUCUAAACCCUAAUUUCACUCCAACCAAUCUUGAUUUGACUUGUGGCUUCAGCUGAAAUUUAAUUUUGCUGUACAUAUUCUAGCUCUGUUUUAUCUUUAAUAUUGUUCAAUUUUUUUGUUUUUUUUUGUUUUUAUGUCAAAUUGAAAUCGACACUCAAACUGAGGUUCGGAGGUAGUUUUGCUACAUAUUGAGCCUCCUCUUUUUGUUUAUAAAUAUUUGCGAAGAAUUCCUUUUUGAUUGUUUUGAAACUUUUUCAUUUUCUGAAUAUGUUAAAUUGAUGGCAAUUUUUCUCUCUCGUGGGUGGUUCAUUAAACAGUCAAUUUUCAAAUUGGAUAAGAUUCCUUUUUGAAUACUCUAUUUCUUUUAAAUAUUAGGUUUUAUGAUUUGGAAAAAGGUAUUUUCUUGUUGGUAAAGAUUAGGGUUCGAGAUUAGUGUACUGGCUGAUACUCUGUUCGUUGUGUACAGGGUACUAGCAAAUAGCCAUCGAUAGGACAUUCGGGAAUCUGGGAUGACAACGGUUUCAUUUCAAAUUUUUGUCAUUAAUCUUUACCUCUGCUUUUGUUGUUACUGAAUUGAUUAUUUGACAUUUUGAAUAGUGGAUUAGGGUCUUGAGAAUGAAGUGAAUUCUUGAAGAAACAAGCUACUGCUAUUAUCUACGUCCUGUUUAUUUUGGUUCAAGAGUACGUCUGAGGCUUGCUAAGGAGAUGGAUGUUGCUAAACAUUGGUAGUUAGUUCUUUGGAAUUUGGUUGGCAGUAAGUGUGU
rnacentral:lncRNA from 1 species